CGAUGUGAGGGUGAUCUGCCUGUGACAUGUCUCACGCCAUUGAUUGCCAGAAUUGAUUCGGCUGAUCUGGCUGGCUAGGCAAGUGUCCCCUUCCUCCCUCACCGCUCCAUGUGUGUCCCUCCAGAAGCUACAGCUGCGAGCUCAGUGGAAGAGGAUGACCUUCCCCUAUAAUAGAGGAGGGCCAUUCUUUGGUUAAGGGGACACAAGUAUCUGCCCUCUCCUGCUAGGACCUCCAAGCAAGCUCUCAAGUAUAAUCUUUUUUUUUUUUAAAUGUUUGUUUGUUUAUUUAUUUAUUUUUGAGAGAGAGGGAGUGAGCACAAGUGG
rnacentral:snRNA from 1 species